rnacentral:tRNA from 2 species
CCCUGGUUAGCUCAGUAGGUAGAUCGCUUCAUUGAAAAUAUAGAGGUCCCGGGUUCGAUACCCGGACCAGGCG